GAUGAACGCUAGCGGCAGGCCUAAUACAUGCAAGACGAACGGUAAGUUGAGUAGCAAUACUUAGCCAAGAGUGUCGUACGGGUGCGUAACACGUAUGCAACCUACCCUAUACAGGAGGAUAGCCUAGGGAAACCUGGAUUAACCCUUCAUAGUAUUAUUGGAUGGCAUCAUUUGAUAAUUAAAACUGAGGUGGUAUAGGAUGGGCAUGCGUCUGAUUAGUUAGUUGGCGGGGUAAUGGCCCACCAAGACGAUGAUCAGUAGGGGUUCUGAGAGGAAGAUCCCCCACACUGGCACUGAGAUACGGGCCAGACUCCUACGGGAGGCAGCAGUAGGGAAUAUUGGUCAAUGGAUGCAAGUCUGAACCAGCCAUGCCGCGUGCAGGAAGAAGGCCUUCUGGGUUGUAAACUGCUUUUGCCAGGGGAUAAAAUUUCCAUGCGUGGAAAACUGAAGGUACCUGGUGAAUAAGCCACGGCUAACUACGUGCCAGCAGCCGCGGUAAUCG
rnacentral:rRNA from 1 species